AGAACGAACGCUGGCGGCAUGCCUAACACAUGCAAGUCGAACGCUCUUGGGGCUUCGGUUCCAAGGGAGUGGCGCACGGGUGAGUAGCGCGUGGGAACCUGCCCUGGAGUGGGGGAUAACCGAGGGAAACUUCGGCUAAUACCGCAUGCGCCCGGGAAACCGGGGAAAGAUUUAUCGCUCUAGGAGGGGCCCGCGUCGGAUUAGGUAGUUGGUGGGGUAACGGCCUACCAAGCCUUUGAUCCGUAGCUGGUCUGAGAGGAUGAUCAGCCACACUGGGACUGAGACACGGCCCAAACUCCUACGGGAGGCAGCAGUGGGGAAUAUUGGACAAUGGGCGAAAGCCUGAUCCAGCCAUGCCGCGUGAGUGAUGAAGGCCUUAGGGUUGUAAAGCUCUUUUACCCGGGAAGAUAAUGACGGUACCGGGAGAAUAAGCCCCGGCUAACUUCGUGCCAGCAGCCGC
rnacentral:rRNA from 1 species